rnacentral:rRNA from 1 species
UACGUAGGGCGCAAGCGUUGUCCGGAAUUAUUGGGCGUAAAGAGCUCGUAGGCGGUCUGUUGCGUCCGCUGUGAAAACCCGGGGCUUAACCCCUGGCUUGCAGUGGAUACGGACAGACUAGAGGUAGGUAGGGGAGAAUGGAAUUCCCGGUGUAGCGGUGAAAUGCGCAGAUAUCGGGAGGAACACCAGUGGCGAAGGCGGGUCUCUGGGCAAUUCCUGACGCUGAGGCGCGAAAGCGUGGGGAGCAAACGGG